GGACACAAAGAACUGAUUUUGAGGUAGAAUGUAAAAUUUGUCACAAGAACUUAACUCUUUUUAUAUGUAAUUAUUUGGAUCUUCAUAUAAGAAGGAGACAUUCGGAUAAAUUGAAAGAUACGCAAGAAACACAUGACACAGUUCGUUCCUCAGAACGCGUUUCAUCAUUUCAAACGGACACAACGUCUAUGUCAUUAACUAUUGUAACUAAAAAGAAUCUGUGGGACUAUUAUGUAGAACUGCCGGAUUUUAAUGCACAGUGCAUGUUUUGCAAAAAUAUAUAUAGUUAUAUAAAUUUUACUGACUUUAAAAUACAUAUAGCAAAAUGUCAUAGUAGUAUUUGGAAAUGUGAAGAAGAGAGAAAACUAAAUUUGCUAUGGAUAUAUUUCAAGUAUUUAAAUGAAUUAUAUUCGCAAUGUAUUAUCUGCGAUGCAAAUGUUUUGACUACAUCUGAAUCUGUAGUAAAUCACUUAAGUUUGCAUUCUGAUGAACAACUGCAAAAUUAUAUACUUCAAGAUUGGCCACAAAAAUAUUGGACCCUAAGAAGUAAUUUAAGGUAGAGUGUGAUAUUUGUAACAACAAAUUAUCUCUUUCUCUUCCAAGUUAUUUGGAUUAUCAUAUAAAAAUGGAACAUUGAAUUGAAACAUUCGCAAGGACACACGACACAGUUGAUUUGUUAGAACGCUUUCUAUAACUUGAAACGGAACAGUGUGCAUGUCACUAAUAGAUUUUUAAUUUUGAAGAAAUAUUGGUAUUUUUAAACUCUGGAUUGCUUUUGUGGAAGUACGUACAUACGUAAGAGUCAUGAUUUCGAAGUAGAGUGUAAUAUUUGUCACAGAAGCACAUUUGUUGCUGUCAGAACUUAUUUCAAUGACCAUAUUAAAGACGAACAUUAUUUGGCAAGCUAACUAAGUUGAAUAAAAGAAUGGCAAUUUCUCUUCCUCUGAAAGUUGACAAUGGGAUCGAUGUUAACGGCGUCUAUAUAGUAUUACUAUCUGCAACUAAGGUAGUCUUAUGUUUGACGAUUUUAGAUCACUAAAAGAUAUAUUCAAGAAUAGUGGCAUAU